rnacentral:rRNA from 1 species
AUUCCAGCUCCAAUAGCGUAUAUUAAAGUUGUUGCAGUUAAAAAGCUCGUAGUUGGAUUUCUGGCGGGAGCGGCCUGUCCUGCCCUUUGCGGGGUUGAGCACAAGCGCUGCAUCCGGCCAUCCUUGUGGAGAGCGUUUCUGGCAUUCAGUUGUCGGACUCGGGAUCCGCAUCGUUUACUGUGAAAAAAUUAGAGUGUUUAAAGCAGGCAUUUGCUUGAAUACAUUAGCAUGGAAUAAUAAGAUAGGACUUAGUCGUUAUUUUGUUGGUCUUGCACGUCUAGGUAAUGAUUAAUAGGGAUAGUUGGGGGUAUUCAUAUUUAAUUGUCAGAGGUGAAAUUCUUGGAUUUAUGAAAGAUGAACUUAUGCGAAAGCAUUUACCAUGGAUGUUUUCAUCA